CCCGCGUUUCCAGGCGGCUUGCGGGUCUCCCGCAGAGAGCGGAGGCUCUUCUGUUGCGGGCAGGCGGCUGGCGGAGGAUGAGGACCCGCCGAAGGUUCAGCGGCCUCGCCCGCCGUCUCCGGGCCCUCCGUCCAGGCUCUCGGCACGUCGAGAGCGGCGGCUGAGGUCACCCCGGGUGGAGCGCAAGCCUUGAGCAUCCUGCCCCGGCGAGGGUCGUGUCGCUGGGAAACAUGAUGAAAACCCUCUGGAAGCUGGAGGAAGGCGUGAAGAACACCGACGUGGGCUGCUUUUUUUGGAUCGAUGAGUCAGCCGUGCGCACCGUUGAGAAACAUGAGAAGACCGUCAAGGGCUCGCGGAGAGUGUUUGCCCAGUCUGUUCCAGGGUGCUGUGCCUUCCCCAUGACGUGAACACCGGGAAGAUGGAGACUGAGUUAACUUUGUGGAUGGAGGACCUGACCAUAAUGGACGGGCCGCCGGCGCAGAAGACCAUCUGCCACAAGCCCAGACGCAUCUGCAAAGCAACUGGUGGAAGCCAAUGGGAAGGGUAACCCAGCUAUUCCCGUGCAAACAAGGGAUACUUUGAGAAGUUCAGAAAUCGCUGCAGUCUGGAAAUGCAAGAUCCAUGGGCGGAAAAAACUGUUAACUGCCCAGUGGGCACCCAAGUAUUUCAGACAACUCCAGAAACUGAUCAGCGCUCAAGGCCAUAUGCCUCAACAGAUCUUCAAAGUUGAUGAGAUGAGCCUAUUUUGGAAUUGCAUGCAUGCCUUUGUUUACUUUUAGGGAAAAAGAAAAAAAUCCCUAAAGCUUAGAGGAAGCUAAGGACAGGAUUUCCCUUAUUUUUGGUGCCAACUGCCCCAGGUGACAAAAUGUAAAAACCAUGGCUACUUUCUAAAGAUCCCAACCCACUUGUUUUUCGGGAAAAAAAAUGGAAAACACCUUCCUGUUUUCUAGCAAUCAUGCCAAAGUAUCUUCAAGCUCUGCCCUCUUUUUGGAUUGGUUUACCCAUCAAGUUCAGAGUUAUUGAACUGAAAAUAUCUUAAAUUCAAAGCUAAUUUUGGACAAAGCUUUGCUUACCCUGAUGUUAAUAGGGUGUUUCUCCCUCUGGAAGGUGCUAUCAGCAGCCUGUGGGUCAUGUCUAACCACCUUGCGUUUCUUUGAAAGAAAUAUGGCACCAUUAUUAUGUUGCUGAUGUUUGGAUAGUAAUAACAGAGGCAAUGGAUAAUAUGAAGUUAAGUGCUCUUAAUAAAGCCUAGUGGAAACUGGAGGACCUUGUGAAUGAUUGUGUGUGUUUUCCUAAUGAAGCUGAAAAAUCAUAGAGUGCGAAAUGAUGGGCUUUACAUUUAUUGAUAUCCAUGAAAGUGAAGUUAACGGGCUACUCAAGUUUCAAGCUUUGGAAUUUGGAGAGAGUCAGGUAUCCUUUAGAUGAAGAGGGGUAUCCUCUAGAUGAAGAGGCCGAGAUCCCAUGAGCAGAGGUAAAGAUGAAUCAAAGGAAAACAAAUGCUGCUUUUACUCAGGACUUGAGACCUCACUGAUACUCUUAAUUGAUGUGGAGCCUUUCCUGAAUGAAGUUUGACUCUUAAAAAAUUUUUUGAUAAAAUGUAUACCUAAAAAAGAGGUGCAGAGGAACUUUCAAAAUAAAGCAAAGGAGUUGAAGAGAGAGGCGAAAGAUACAAACAAAGAGGAAGGCUGAAGGAGAUGAAUAGGGAAAUCUGAGUCAGAACCUGAGAGGAAGAGUAGAAGGUAGAAAGAAAGAGGACAAGAAGCCUCUAGAAGAAGAGCCUGGACCCUCAAACAGUAGCAUCUGAAGAAUCUACCAAAGUCAUAAAUGCAGAAUUGGACUUUUGGAAUCUAACCUUGGAAGUGAAUCUGAAGAGAGUAGAGAUACCAGAGUCAAAGGAAGAGGAAAAUCCAGAGGCAGUUUCUUCCGAAUAGCAUUCAUUUCUUGCCAUCCUUCAGUUGCCAUCACCACUAUCUUCAUUGAGACCAUCCUUAUAAUCACCUUAAAAUCACACAUUCACAUCAUUGAGUAAUUCAACAAACAUCAUUGAGAAUUAACUGUGGGGUCCUAUGCUACUGUGCUAAACCUGGGGAUAUCAUCUCAGGAAACUAUCUCAGCAUCUAAGAUUGUAAAGUCAGCUAUAAUCUCCAGGACACUCCAGGACAAAAAGAGGAAAAAGGCAGAAUGAAAUUUGACUAAGUGGAAAGAUACACAGAAUACUUUAAGAGAAUGCAAAAUAAGAAAAGAUCCUGACGGCUUCUUUCCUGACAUACCCCACACUCAGGACCCUUAGCCUGCAGCUCCAUUCAGCUGUCACGGGCAGCUACAUCUCUGGCACUUACUCCAUCGUCUUUGUCAACUGUCCCAAUGAGCAAAUUGCCAGAGAUAUUGCCAGGGCUGUCCUGGAUAAGAAGCUGGCUACCUCUGUGAAUAUCCUGCCUAAGGCAUCUUCCCUGUACUUUUGGAAUGGAGAGAUAGAAGAAGCCACUGAGAUCCUGUUGUUAAUAAAGACAAAGACUUCCAGGGUCCAUGUGCUGUCCAGCUACAUCAGGUUGGUACAUCCUUUUGAGAUCCCAGAGGUCUUCAGUCUUCCCAUGGACCAAGGAGACAUGCACUAUUUAAAGUGGCUGGAGGAGGGCAUGGGGGAGGACUGAGCACCCUGCUCGCUGCCUCUAGCCUCAUCAGUGUACUCCGGGGAAGGGGAUGCCUCUUCCUGCCACCUAGCUUCCCUGGAUUCCAUGUUUCUGUCAGUGCAGAGGAACUAAAUAACUGUGGAGGCUGAAGGUUGGAGGCUCCUGUGGCUGAAAGACCCCAGUGGGACUUACCCUGAGUGCUUCAUGCUUAAAGGUGCCCCCAGGGGAGGGAAGACAAGGAUGGUUGUAUAUAGGGACUCGGGAGGUAAGUGGCAGUGAGGGUAGGUUUGUCAUCUUCUCUACAGUCACUGGACCUUCCUCAGGGUCCAAUGGAUGCAACUACCCUCCUGCUUCUCAUGAGUGUGGGUCUGUGGCCUGUUCACCCGGGUUGGUAGGUUGAAUGCCGUCUUCUAGGGGACUGGCAAAUGCUUUAUGCAAAAGGAUGAAAUGCUAAUAGUUGAAUUUUGGGAACACACACACACAGGAUUAUUUCUUCUAAAGGUGGUGUAUAACUCCUGAGUCCUCAGGAAGCAGGACUGGGAAUGGCCUUUCAUGAAUGUGUGUAGGACAAGGGAAUAUACACAGCCUCAUGGACUCGGGAGUAAGUCUUGACCCCUAGCCUGAAUGUGACCCAUUAGAGGGUGCUGGUGCCUGGCUCAAUGGAGGCGCAGGUUUUGCACCUACCAUACUCACCUUUUCACUUGAGCCUUGAACCUAAGCCUUCUAUGGCAGGAAAUAACCCUGGGAAAUUGCUAGAUCAGUCUUUCACACUUGCUCACAGAACCCAAGUGCUGACAGGAGGUGCCUUGGGAUUGUGGGGGUCGGGGGCUCCCCACUCACACUGCAGCUGGUACUACUGUGCUGCUUUGAUUUUUAUGUUGUGAGCUUCAAGAUUGCAUUUGUUUUCGUUUUAUCAUUUUUCUUGAAAGCUUAUAAGCCAGUUGUCUAAGCUAGUCUCCUCUUUAUAGAUUAUUAUAGGAAACUCAAGGAUUUCAAUAACUAAGCUUUCUCUACAGUCCACAGGUACUUUCUAAUUUAUGGAAUUGGCAAAAUCCAACUUUUUCCUUGAACUUUCAUGUGGGAUGAAUUCCAAGGAGAUUUUUCUUUCUCGCUGUAGCCUUCAUUGGGUCAUUUUCGUGCCUGCCACACAUAUUAGAAACUCUUUCUUGGUGGCCUUGGCCUCAGUGACACAGCUGACUAUAGGAGGGGUGAGGAUGCCAGCUCUCCCUGCCAGGUCCCAUCCUAGAUUCUUAACAUUAUUUGCUUUCCAUGCCUCACCUCAUUGCUAUCUUCAUUUUGCAGAUGAAACCUAAGAUCAGAGAGCAUCAGAUGCUUAAAACAAGUGACAGAGUUAGGCUUUGAGCCCACGUCCGAUGCUCUCAGUGCCUCUUUUUCAAAGAGGUUGGAUAUAACCUUCAUUGGCCAAAGAGCCACCGAACCUGCUGUAGCUACCUGUAAAGGGAGAGUUAUUAGUUCUUAAAACUUCUAUGUAGUCAGUUGGUCUGGCAUUUAAAAAUACAUUGCACUGUUUAUCUUUCCCCACAGAUCAGGAGACUGGUAAUAGCAUCUUCAUUCUACAGACCAGGGAACAGAGAGGAGUUCAAUGAUUUUUAGGCUCUAUGUGCCUCCAGUACAUGAUUUGAACCCUCUCCCGCACCUCCUCCCAGAAUGCUGUGGAAGCUGGGGCCAGGGCCCAGAUUAGUGUUUGCAUGUAUGAACUCCUUCCCAGCAUUUCUCUUUCUGAAUCCAGCAUCCCCAGAAAAAAUCAGGUGAGAAGUGAGAAAAAGCAUUAUAAUUAUCUGUGAAUACUAAUGUUUAAAAGUACAGAGAUGUUACUGGUUUAGAGAAAUCCACCUUCAGCAAAUAGAAAAUAAGUACAAAGCACUGACGUGCAGAGUUAAGGUGAAGAGAACCAAGACAGGAGCAUGUAGAGAGACAGACUAGCACUAAAUCAGUCUCGCUUGGGAUCACUGCCUUGUCACAAGCGCGUGAGCAUGCUGUUGCCCUGCCUGCUGCAAACCGUGUUAUUCUUGGAAAUAAGUUUUUACACAUAGUUUUCUUUAUACAAAUCCUUUGAAUAGUGUUCAAAGAAAUAAGUUUGGGGAACAAAAUAAAUACUGAUUUGACAAUUUUGACCCGAUUCUGUGUACUGUUAACCUUGCUAGGAUAUCUGAAUAUUAUCCCAUGAUGAACAUUCCCUGAUGUUUCCUAAAAUU